GCUCUAGUGGCGCAAUGGUUAGCGCGUUUGGCUGUUAAAGGCGAAGUGCAUCGAAUUGACUGUUACCAAAAGGUUGGUGGUUCGAGUCCACCCUGGAGCG